rnacentral:rRNA from 1 species
AACGAACGCUGGCGGCAGGCUUAACACAUGCAAGUCGAACGCAUCCUUCGGGGUGAGUGGCAGACGGGUGAGUAACGCGUGGGAACGUGCCCUUCAGUUCGGGAUAACCCAGGGAAACUUGGGCUAAUACCGGAUACGUGCGAGAGCAGAAAGAUUUAUCGCUGAAGGAUCGGCCCGCGUCUGAUUAGCUAGGUGGUGGGGUAAUGGCUAUCCAAGGCGACGAUCAGUAGCUGGUCUGUGAGGAUGAGCAGCCACAUUGGGACUGUGAGACGGCACAAGCCCCGACGGGAGGCAGCAGUGGGGAAUACUGGACAAUGGGCGCAAGCGUGAUCCAGCCAUGCGGCGUGAGGGAUGAAGGACGUAGGGUUGUAAAGCUCUUUCGUCCGGGACGUUAAUGACGGUACCGGAAGAAGAAGCCCCGGCUAACUUCGUGCCAGCCGCCGCGGUAA